ACUCCUACGGGAGGGCAGCAGUGGGGAAUAUUGCACAAUGGGCGCAAAGCCUGAUGCAGCCAUGCCGCGUGUAUGAAGAAGGCCUUCGGGUUGUAAAAGUACUUUCAGCAGUGAGGAAGGUGGGGUAUGUUAAUAGCAUACACAUUUGACGUUAGCUGCAGAAGAAGCACCGGCUAACUCCGUGCCAGCAGCCGCGGUAAUACGGAGGGUGCGAGCGUUAAUCGGAAUUACUGGGCGUAAAGCGCAUGCAGGUGGUUUGUUAAGUCAGAUGUGAAAGCCC
rnacentral:rRNA from 1 species